rnacentral:snoRNA from 1 species
AAAAUUGAUGAUGAAGAUCUCAUUGCAUCUAUCCUUAAUGGAUUGGACUCGGAUUAUAAUCCGUUUGUUUCUUUGGUAUCUAUA